GGUUUAUCUAAUCAGUUCAGGUGGUUAGCUCUUCACUUUGCUCAUAAAUCAAGCCAAGCCUGCCUCAAUUCCUAGUAACAGCGAUUGAUUGGGUACCUAGUGUAGACAGUAAACAUAAUUUGCAUAGUUCGUAUAACAUGGAGAUUAAGCAUUGGCUUUGGUGUCAGACAGCCUGGGUGAGAAUCCUGCUGUUUGUUUGCUGUGUGACCUGAGGUAAGUCUCUUUACCCCUCUGCCAUCGUUUCCUCAUCUGUGAAGGGAAAUAACACAACACAUUUGAACUAACCUAGGGUUGUUGAGAGAAUUCAAUGAGCCAGUGCAUGAGGUGCUUAGCACUGAGCUGAGGGUAUGGAAAAUAGUCAGUAGAUGCUUACCGUUAUUCUUAAUCCUUACAACAGCCCCACAACCAAAGCAACACCAUCUCCACUUUAUACAUGUGGAAACGAAUAUUCAAAGAAUCAAGUCCAAAAUCACACAGCUGCUAAGUAAUUUGGCUGGCAAGAAGAGGAAUUAUGAUCAAACUCCAAAACCGAAGUGUUUGUCACUAUACCCCAGGCCUGAGACAGGUUAAACCUAGGAGGAAGGGUUCUCUCUGAGGGAUAAAAAUCGGAACUUGUCCACUUGGCUUGUUGUUUUUGCAUAUAGUAAUGGAAAGACCCACCGACUAGCUGUGAGAACUUGGGUGAGUCUCUCAAACAUCCUGAGGCUGUUUACUCAUCUGCAAAAUGGACACAAAAACACCUGCUGUGCGCUUUUCACGGGUGGUGGUCAGAGUGAUGUGAGAAACAGUACGCAGCAGAGCGCUGUAAAACUGUCAAGUGCUCGACAGUGUCGGGUUGGAUGUGUGCUCUGGGGCAGGCCUCACUUUUCCUUGGUUGCGUCCAGCGGCUCAGCCAAAGUGAGUUUUGUGGGGGCUCCCACUGUGGUCAUUGGGCCUCAGCUGCAGCAGUCGGGCCUAGAGGCCCAUGGGUGCCUCCCCAGGGGGCAGAGGUUUGGCCGUCUUCACCUGAUUCCAGGGUGGGCAAUCUGGGAGGUGACCCCCAAUGUGGAUGCAGCAGCUGCUGCUCAUCUGUAGUAAGUCAGCGACCCGGACAGAUGAGGUGUCCGUGGUGACCUUCCUGCCUCGGUGAGUGUGGGAACUCGGGGCUUCCCAGGGCCGGGGGUGGGAACGUAAAUGAAGUGGUCCCUGCUGAAGUCGGGCUUUGUGUCCUCCCUUUGCUGCCCUAACCAAGGAGGAGGCACAGGCAUGGGGCAUCGUGGAGGCUCCACCGCAAGGGUGCCAAGAGAAAAAAGCCUGAACUCUGGGAUCCCAGGGUUGCUCUACCUCCUGGCACUGUCCUGACUCCUGCAGAGGUGGACGUUUCCUGCCAAAAGUCCCACUGCGCCACUGUUUGCUGUCAACAAGGCAGAGUCUGAAAUAUAUCACCCUGGUGGAAACUCUCCUUCCCUCCCUCUUCCGUCUGUAUUCUGUAGGCAAUCAUCUGGGGAGAGCAGGAGUCGCCAUCUCUUUCUAGCAAAAGACAGCAAACGUUUUCAUUUGUCUGCAGAAGUCUUGGCCUAAGAUGGUCUAUUCAUGAUGAACCCCUAUGUUUGCUACUUUUUGCUUUGACUGGCUUUCUAUGCCUUUCUGGUAUGUCCAGAGUGAUUCUGCGGCAAAAUCCUAAAACAUUUCAAGUUCAUAUUGGUGUCUUCUCACCUUUUUCUCUAUUUUCUUUCUCUCUGUCUUUAUAUUGGCCAGCACUUCCUGCCUUUAACAGAUGUGCCAGACACCAUAAAGGUGCUGGGGAUAUAUCAGCCAGCAAGCAGGAUAAAGAGGAUGAGUUCCCAUCACUUACAUCCCAGCUGGGGAGACAAAUGCUGGACCAGCAUUCUCACAAGAAGGUGUUUAGUGUGCUGUGGGUGCCUGUAUCAGCAGGUGCAAACUCAGACCUGGCUAAGGAAGGCCUCCCUAAGUCUGGAAGCAGAGGGGAGGCAGCAUUUGCAGAAGCAAAAAUGAAUAGCACAGCUGCUUGUGGUACAAGACCUGGGCCUGGCCCUCCCCCUUGAGCAGUGCUUCAUGUCUAAGCACUUCUGCCUACUCACCCACCAUAAAACUGCCAUGUAUGCUGUUCUUCUGAGGCUCUGCUUUUUUCCUUCCAUGAUUGCAGUCUCCACUGAUAAUUUCCUAAAAUGGGCUUGGAGCCUGGAGACUUAGAUUCUUAACUGAAUUCCACAAUUUAACUGUACAACUUGAACGAGUGACUUAGCAUCUCUGAGCCAUAGUUCCUCAUCAGUAAUAUGCCAAUAGCAACACUGAAUAGCCAGCUCCCAAUGUUAAGUAAUUUAUUGCAUUUAAUCCUCACAAAUUUAAUCCUCAUGAAGUAGGUAAUAUUUUUAUCCCCUUCUAUCCUCUCAAAGGGAAGUAUGAGUGUGGCACUAAUGUGGAGGUGCUUUGUAACCAUUAAGGGUUAAUGCACAAUUGACAUAAUAUUACCACAGUGUUCACAAGUGCGUGUAUAAUGAAUAAAUUCAUUUGUUAAAUGCCACAACAAUUCUGGGAUACACAUAAGUAAAUGAGGAUCAAGAUCUUUUGUGUCUGCCUCCCAAGCAAACCAAACAAAAAGCAGUAGCAAGAACAAAGUGUUGUCAUCACCAAAAAGCUAAUUGCAUGUAGUGACAAACCACUGAAGGGAGAAUUCCACAGAUGUGACCCUAGAACCUCUGAAAUUUACAGUCUGAUGACCACCACUGCCUGGAACACAUAUGCAGGCAACAGACCGAAAGCUCAGAAUCAACUCAGGAAGAGACACUGAGAUUGUCUCAAACCUAUUGCCCACCAAGGGUAUGAGUUUUUCAGGAGGCUACAUGAGCUGGGAGAAAUUCAUAAACUUACAGCAGAAUUCAAGGUUAGGACUGGAGCCAGAAGGGUCUAAGUUUCUAAGUUUUUUUCUCUUUAGUACGUGUCCCUCCACUUUCUAUCAUUUUAUCACAGCAUUUUUUUACUCCAAAGCCCAAUUCCAGGAAAUUAUUUAUACAUGAUAAUACAUUGUCAUAAUAAUGACAGAUUCUUAAAUUAUCAAGUUCUGAAACCAUGGACGUGUGUAGCAAAGUAAUAGGAAUAUAUAUGUUGCGCCCUCAUGCGCCUGAGUAUGGGCUUUUGUGUGUCUGCUGUGAGUGCGUGAGUGUAGCUUCCUACACUUACACUCCCCCACUUGGCAAGCAGUGGUGCUGGCUUCCCCUGAAAGUAGCCAGUGUGGGAGAGAAUCAAAAAACAAAUGAGGUGAAAGAGCAGAGCUGUGGUUUGAUACUCACGGAUCCAAAUGAAAGGCGAUGAAUAAGAAAGUCAAUGAGCUGAAAAUGACCUGAGUUAAGGCACCUCCUAGGGACUGUACUCCCUGUGAACAAUUGUAAUAGACAUUUGUUUAAGCUCUUUUAAAGUGCUUUGAAACUUUAAUACCCAUUUCUUCCCUCAAAAUAUAGGGAGUCUAUUGGGGAAGUUAAGCGCACCUUCUGGGUUCAAGUCCAAUGUCCAACACAUUCUGCCAUUUCCUGGUGGAAUGAUAUCGGGCAGGUCACAAUCCUCUAAUUUGGGAAGAGUGCUGUCUACCUCAGGAAGUUCUUGUGAAGAUAAAAUGUGCAUUUUUUUAAGCUGAGGAGAAGGAUGCAGUGGAGGGAGAUUGAAGAUAGGAAGAGAAAGUAGAACUGAGUCAGCUUUCAAGAGCCUGCCGUCGAAGCCUCCUUUCUUCAGGAAACUUCCAACCAUGCUCCAUGAACUUGUCUCACACCAGGAGUUUCCCUCGUGAUUUUUAAGGCACAAAGCAUCUUCCUUUCAAGAUAUCUGGAG